CAACCCUCAAGCGCGGCUUGGUGUUGGGCGCGGCCCGUCGCGGCCGGCCCCAAAGACAGUGGCGGCGCCGCCUGGCCCUGAGCGCAGUACGACUCUCGCUCCAGGGCCUAGCGGUAGGCCGACAGCAACCCAACUCUGU
rnacentral:misc_RNA from 1 species